UACGGGGGGGGCAAGCGUUGUUCGGAAUUACUGGGCGUAAAGGGCUGGUAGGCGGCCAACUAAGUCCGACGUGAAAUCCCAAGGCUUAACCUUGGAACUGCGUCGGAUACUGGAUGGCUUGAAUUCGGGAGAGGGAUGCGGAAUUCCAGGUGUAGCGGUGAAAUGCGUAGAUAUCUGGAGGAACACCGGUGGCGAAAGCGGCGCGCUGGACCUCUUCUGACGCUGAGGCGCGAAAGCUAGGGGAGCAAACGGG
rnacentral:rRNA from 1 species